rnacentral:tRNA from 1 species
GACAACUUAGUUUAUAAAAAUAGAUACUUUGAAAGUAUUAGUAAGAAAAUAUUUUCUAGUCGUCG